GUUAUCUCUGGAGACAUUCAAUACAAUUGGAAAGAUACAAGGAAUAUUAGCAUGGCCCAUGCACAAGGAUGACACAUUUGGUAAUGAUAAUAAAUUUCAU
rnacentral:snRNA from 1 species